GCUCUGCGCAAACGGCCGCGGCUGCGCCGCUCCUCGUGGCUCCGCGGGGUCUCCCUUUGCAGCUCGGAACGUUUUUGUGCGUUUUCCUAACGCCGAAACGGUUCCGCAAUUAGCCCCAGUUUCAGAAAAUUCUAAAAAUCAGCGCCACACGCAGAAACUGGCCCCGUUUCCUUUCAUGUUAUUCCUGGAGAACUAGCAAGCGUUCAGCGUGAAAUUCCCCCCCCCUUCUGAAGAGCCAUCCUCUGAGCACAAAGGUGAUGCUCGUUGUGCGGACCUCCAGCCGUUCUUCACUGCGAGCGGCAUGCAGUGAGUGUUGGGGCUGCCGGACAGCAGCAUCAGCGCGGCUGGGAAGGCUGGAAGAGAACGGGAACACAUUCGAGACAGAGAGAAAUGGCACAGUUUUUGGCUGCUCUGUCCUUAAUGUUUAGAUGAUGAAGUUUUCCUUCUCUGGUCCUUAAAUGAAGAUCACGUUGCAGAGCUCAAAGAGAAGUGGUAUUGAAUUAUGGCACUACAGGGCAGCCUGUAGCACGAGUACGCCCUCUCCUUCAGUAAGAACAGAAGAACAACGAAAAGAGGGGAAAAGAAAGGGAAGAUGCAAUAAGACACACUUUCAUGUACUUGUUUUUAAGAAUCACAGAAUACGUUCCUUCCAUCUUCUGCAAAGUCAAGGAGCAUUUCAAAAGCAUCCACACAGCCACACGCCUGGGAAUAUUGAGGCUCAUACCUCUCCUCCAUUGAUCUCUAAUUCUGCCAUUAUCCAACGAAAAAUACCAAUAGCAAUAAAACAGAGAACGAGAUGUGCCACAGACAGUCUUCAAACGGAUGGCUUGGCGAGUGAGAGGAGGAAAUGAAGCACUUAAAUCUCUCAUCAGAUGUUCUGAAAAUUAUUUCAGCUGCUAAAAAUGCUAAACAAAUUUUUAUUUCAAAGGAUAUGUUCCAAAAUCUUCCCCUUUGAUAAUUGCUUUUUUUUUUUUUUUUUUUUUUAAACCAUCUGUCAUAUAUUUCAUUCCAGUCUCACAGGGCCAAUGCUCCCUCCUCCGUUCACCUCCCGCCUCACCCCAGGUAGGGCUCUGGGACCAAAUGCCCACCCCACAUCUGGGUGCAAAUCACAGCCCGGGCGCAUGGUUGGGUGCAGCUGCUGCCAGUGGGGGUAUCUUGCUCAGAUUUCUGUGUUUUUGCACUUUUUUUUUCUUUUCUUUUCAAAUUUUUAUUGUAUAUCUCUAGUCAUCUAGGUUUAUAUUUAAAACUUGCCCCCCAACCUUUCAAAAUCCUUUGAGGCCGCAUCCUUGGCCCUCAAAGUAUUUUCUCUUACUGAUAAUCUCAACCAGAAUGUUGGUGGUUUUUUUUUUUUCCUUCUUUCUUUUCUUGGAAGUUCCUUCAGUCACAAAACAGCUAAAAAAAGCACUAGAACCGGCCUGCCUCGCUGGUUUGGCAAGAAGUAACUGUUUUUUGCUUUUUUUCCCCCUGCAUUUCUUUUCCCUUCUCUCCAUUUGUUGAAAGCCCAUCUCUCCCUAUGCCCAUGGCAGACACAGUCUCAAUCUAUAUUUAGCCUUAGUGAAGAGCAGAGAAGAGCAGCAAUUCCUACAGCAGGUUGGAGAGCAGCUUGAGGACAAGUCCUUCAGCCACACUGCCUGGCUGGGUCAUGGUCGGUGGUGGCGCACACACACAGGAUGCCAUGACCACCCAUGGUCAUCCGUGGUGACCCUCAGACACCCGUGGCCCCCAUUGGCCACCCAUCGCCACCCGUGGUGACCCACAACCACUCAUGGCCACCAAUGGUCACCCAUGGCCACCCAUGGUGACUCAACAACCACUCACAGCCACAAAUGGCCACCUGUGGCUACCCACAUCCAUCUACAACCACUCAUGGCUACUGAUGUCCACUGAUAUCUGUCCACAUCUACCCACAUUCAUCCACAGCUGCCUGUGGCCAUUCAUGGCCUCUUGUGUCCACCAGUGUUCACCUAACAGUCACCCACAGCCACCCACAGCCAUUCAUGGGCACCCACGUUGGCCCUUUCACCAUCCAUGGCCGCUCAUAUCCACUCUAGGCCACUCAGAGCCACUCAUGGCAACUCAUGGCCACCCACAGCUACACAUGGCCACCCACAGUCCCUGAUGGCCACCCGUAUCCAUUCAGGGAAGAUGCCAGCCUGCUGUUGGCUGCUGGGAGUGCACCCACGCAGUCUGCACUGAUGCAGAGCUUGCACCCAUGCAACAGCAUCACAUGGACACAGCAGGUUGUGCUUCUGGCUUUUCUGCAGCCCUUAUUUACCAUCUGUGACAGCUUUGCCUCUGAUUGUUGGGUUUUUUUUUUUGUGUGUAUGUGUUUUCACUUUUAAUUCUC
ensembl:lncRNA